AUUGAACGCUGGCGGCAGGCUUAACACAUGCAAGUCGAGCGGAGAUGAGGUGCUUGCACCUUAUCUUAGCGGCGGACGGGUGAGUAAUGCUUAGGAAUCUGCCUAUUAGUGGGGGACAACAUUCCGAAAGGAAUGCUAAUACCGCAUACGUCCUACGGGAGAAAGCAGGGGAUCUUCGGACCUCGCGCUAAUAGAUGAGCCUAAGUCGGAUUAGCUAGUUGGUGGGGUAAAGGCCUACCAAGGCGACGAUCUGUAGCGGGUCUGAGAGGAUGAUCCGCCACACUGGGACUGAGACACGGCCCAGACUCCUACGGGAGGCAGCAGUGGGGAAUAUUGGACAAUGGGGGGAACCCUGAUCCAGCCAUGCCGCGUGUGUGAAGAAGGCCUUAUGGAUGUAAAGCACUUUAAGCGAGGAGGAGGCUACUGAGACUAAUACUCUUGGAUAGUGGACGUUACUCGCAGAAUAAGCACCGGCUAACUCUGUGCCAGCCGCCGCAGUAAGAC
rnacentral:rRNA from 1 species